rfam:Syntrophomonas wolfei subsp. wolfei str. Goettingen, complete genome.
ACAAUUGUAUAGCUCCAAGCCUUUAGACCUAAAGCAAAGCCAUGGUUUCUAGGCCUGUGGGUAUAGUUGGAAACGAUUGUGCCUCCCCGUAUUUUUGGAAAGGAGCCUAAAAAGCCUGGUU